UGUACAAAUAACCUAAUCAGACAGAGGACGAAGGAAGCGUUUGAAUAAAUAAGUGAUUAGGGGUGAUGUCCAAAUAGGGGUGAUGUUCGUGUCGCGUUGUUGGUUACAACCAUUGUUUUUUUGCAAGAAAAUGUCUCUUCCCAAAAAUGAUGCCGUCUUGUGAAAAAAAAUGCAAUUCUUAAUUUUCUACAUUGUAUCUUGAGCUACGUCAGAAGAAGAAACCACUGCAGAGUAGCCAGAAUAUUCUCAAGGCACUUGCCCAGGAACAGAGAACUCAAGAUGAAACUGCAACCGAAACGACUGAGGGCUGUAGACGGUGCCGAAAAUAUGAUGUCCUGAAGGCAAAAUACAGGGCCUUGAAGGCAGAACAUGCUGAAGUGUUGGUUUAUAAAGACCUACACAAAGUAGUGCAGAACCUGCAGGACAGCUCUGACAUUUUCCAACGGAGCCUAACGUCAGAGACAGCUCCUCUGCAGCCCACCUCGGCCAGCUCAUCAAGGCCAUCUACUCCAGCUGGCUCAUCACGGCCAUCAACUCCGGCCAGCUCAUCAGCGCCAUCGACCCCUGCCAGCUCAACACUGUCAGUGCCCACAACUCCAAGCCCAUCAACUACUGACAACUCGAGCAAUGAAAAAAAAGGCCUCUCCUAAGGUGGACAUCGGGAAUGGAAUUUUGAUUAAAAAAGUCCGACUUAUUGCCAUCACUCAAGUAAGUGACACACCAACAAAACUGGCCUGCAACCUUUUCAUGGCACUUUUUAGGAGAGAAGAAGUGACAGGAAGAAGCAUAACUGGGAAAAAAUCGAAUGCUCAUCUAGCUUCAACCAUUGAGAAGGAGCGUCUCGAUCCUGUUCGUAUCAGUGCUGUCAUAGGUAUGAUUGCCUUCCAUUCAUGCUGGUCAGAAAAUUGUACAUAAGAGUGCUAUUAUAAUGAAAACCUUUGUAACAAUCUUAUGGCUGUAUUAACAAACAUUUUCCAUGGUUCCCAAUGCUUUGUUUACGAACCUGGUGUCAUCACUGGAAAAGAUAUGGAAAAUAUGGAAUUAAUAUUUUGCGUAUAGUGAUGACAGCAAGGCUGUUGGCCGUACCAUCACAUAUACCCAGCAAGAAAUGAGACCGAGGGG